GAGCUGUGAUGAGAUUUGGAGAUUGUCAUGCACCACUCUUACAAAUUUUAUUUGAGUGAUGAUAAAUCUUUCAUACCCAUUUUGCUUCUGAGCUC